GUUACUUAUCACGCCCUUCCCCCGUCUCAGUGAGUUCAAGAGUCAUGGGAUCUUUCCCCAUGACUCAGCAAAGAUCAUCCUACAUUAUAGGUUACUCAAUUGUGCAACUUGACCAAUCAGCAGAGAGCAGGGUCAGAUCAAAUUUCCCUUUCUCUGCAAAAUCAGAAAAAGUUGCUUUUGCAGCUCAGUUCACUGGACAUUUUCAAAGGAAUCGUCAAAACUAACCAUGUUUCCAUCAAUUUUUUAUGGCAAGAGGAGGGAGACUGCUGUUGUGCCAGUCCACCCUGACAUUAGUGAUGUUGAUGAGGAUCAAGAUGAUGAUGUGUCAGACCCCGACUUCGCCCCACCCACCAACAACCAGGACAUUCCCAGACCCUCACACACAGUUGUGUGAGGGUCUAUUCAACACUUUUGUUAUCAGCACUUUUUGUUAUUAUCACGUUUAUGUUCUAAAAGUGAUGUUCAAAUACAUAAUAUGUGUUUUUCUUAUAUUUAUAUAUAUAUGUAUACUUAUUGGAAUUUGUUUUCCCACUCACGGGCAAGUGACCAAAUAUGGUAACUUCAUUGGCAUUGAUUUUCUACAUGAAAA